CGGGAGGCAGCAGUGGGGAAUAUUGCGCAAUGGGGGCAACCCUGACCCAGCAAUGCCGCGUGAGUGAGGAAGGCCUUCGGGUUGUAAAGCUCUGUCAGAUGGGAAGAAUGGUUAAGGGUCUAAUACGCCCAUGAUUGGACGGACCCAUCAAAGGAAGCACCGGCUAACUUCGGGCCAGCAGCCGCGGUAAU
rnacentral:rRNA from 1 species